rnacentral:rRNA from 1 species
CCUACGGGUGGCAGCAGUGAGGAAUAUUGGUCAAUGGACGAGAGUCUGACCCAGCCAAGUAGCGUGAAGGAUGACUGCCCUAUGGGUUGUAAACUUCUUUUAUAAAGGAAUAAAACGAGGCACGUGUGCCUUUUUGCAUGUACUUUAUGAAUAAGGAUCGGCUAACUCCGUGCCAGCAGCCGCGGUAAUACGGAGGAUCCGAGCGUUAUCCGGAUUUAUGGGGUUUAAAGGGAGCGUAGAUGGGGUGUUAAGUCAGUUGUGAAAGUUUGCGGCUCAACCGUAAAAUUGCAAUUGCUAAUGGCAGUCUUGAGUACAGUUGAGGUAGGCGGAAUUCGUGGUGUAGCGGUGAAAUGCUUAGAUAUCACGAAGAACCACGAUUGCGAAGGCAGCUUACGAAACUGUGACUGACAUUGAUGCUCGAAAGUGUGGGUAUCAAACAGGAUUAGAUACCCGAGUAGUC